rnacentral:rRNA from 1 species
CCCUCAAGAUGAGAUUUCCCAGUAUGUAAGACCCCUGAAAGACGAUCAGGUUGAUAGGUUCGAGGUGGAAGUGCAGCAAUGCAUGCAGCUGACGAAUACUAAUCGGUCGAGGGCUUAUCCUA